GUGAGGAAUUUUCCGCAAUGGGCGAAAGCCUGACGGAGCAAUGCCGCGUGAAGGAUGAAGGCCUAUGGGUUGUAAACUUCUUUUCUCAGAAAAGAAUUAUGACGGUAUCUGAGGAAUAAGCAUCGGCUAACUCUGUGCCAGCAGCCGCGGUAAGACAGAGGAUACAAGCAUUAUCCGGAAUGAUUGGGCGUAAAGCGUCUGUAGGUUGUUUAAAAAGUAUUCUGUCAAAGAUUAGGGCUUAACCCUAGAUAGGCAGAAUAAACUUUUAAGCUAGAGUUUGGUAGAGGCAGAGGGAAUUCCCGGUGGAGCGGUGAAAUGCGUAGAUAUCGGGAGGAACACCAAAGGCGAAGGCACUCUGCUGGGCCAAUACUAACACUGAGAGACGAAAGCGAGGGGAGCAAAUGGGAUUAGAAACCCGGGUAGUCC
rnacentral:rRNA from 1 species